AUUGAACGCUGGCGGCAGGCUUAAAACAUGCAAGUCGAGCGAGCGGCGGACGGGUGAGUAAUGUAUGGGAAACUGCCUGAUGGAGGGGGAUAACUACUGGAAACGGUAGCUAAUAACGCAUACCAUCAGAUGUGCCCAGAUGGGAUUAGCUAGUAGGGGGGGUAAUGGCUCACCUAGGCGACGAUCCCUAGCUGGUGUGAGAGGAUGACAAGCCACAGUGGAACUGAGACACGGUCCAUACCACUACGGGAGGCAGCAGUGGGGAAUUUUGAACAAGGGGCGGAAGCCUGAUGCAGCCAUGCCGGGGUUUGUACGAAGGCCUUCGCGUUGUAAAGCACUUGCAGCGAGAAAGGGUUACUCGCAGAGGAAGCACCGGCGAACGCCUUGCCAGCGGCCGCGGUAUUC
rnacentral:rRNA from 1 species